UAUGCUCACACUCGUCAACUCUUUCCUCCUUGAUUCUUGGCAUUCCAAAGAUUCUUACUUGGGCUGCACACCGCUCCGGUGCUUCCAGUAGUACGGGCCCAAUACUACUGUCCGCACCGCACCAGAAUACACUCCAAGUCCUCCUCUUCGGAUUCCAGGUCUCAAGUACUCUAUCAUGCGUAGACCACUCUCUAAUAGAUCUCUCAUAAGUCCCUCGCUGCUACCUACUCACUCUCAAGCAUCUCAUAGCAGCUCACCUCUCCCUAGGCUAAGGCAUCACAAAUCAGGCCACUCUAGUCCUAAUAGCAAUACCUAGCCUACUCUAGCAUGCGAAUACAUCAUAUCAAUGUCAAUAUCACAUAAUAUAUAAAGGUAUUUUGGGAAAUCACCGUUCGGGCGCUGACUGAUCGUACACACAUCUCUUGCUCUGCGUUUUUCAAAAAUCUUUUACUCUUUUUGAAAAUACAUCUCAAAUCCUCAGUUUGAGUUCAAAUACGCCCGAAGGUGUACUCGAAUCCCUCAAACCAAGGCUCUGAUACCAACUUGUAACACCGUGAAUUUCAAAAUAAUUUUUCGCAAUAUAAAAAAAAACAUUUCUCAUUUAAUUUCAUAAAAACAUUAAGUUUCAAAUUCCAAUAUGUAUCAUACAAAUCCCAAGAUCACAUAAAUAUAUCAAAAGUCCCCUGCAUGUGUACAGAUCAAGUCGGCGCCUUCCCACGGUCAUCGCUAGUACCUGAAACAACAACACUAACACUGUAAGCACGAAGCUUAGUGAGUUCCCCAAAAUACCACACAUAGAACGCAUAUUAGCCACUCGAGGCUAUAACUCUAUGGGUCCGUGCACCCAACUCUGUGAACCCUCAGGUUCUAACUCUAGGAACCUUCCGGUUCCAACUCUGUAAUCAUGCACAACAUCAAUCACAUAGAAAUAAUGCAGUACAACACAUAGCAUACACAUAACAUUGGUGCUAGGCUCUAAAACUCCAAGGAAUCAACUACAACUACAAGGUAAGUGUUUCUACUAGCUCUAUUUGAUUCAAGUUCUCCAUGCCAUGCUAGUUAGGAUAUGAACCUUGGAAAAAUAAUUAUUUGCAUGUAUCUUAGACAAACAUAGAUCCAAGAUUUAUUAGGGUUGCAUGUACACUUAGGAAGUGUUAGAAUGCUCAAAACCCAUCACUUCGGGGUAUCCUUCCCAAUAGACUACAUUCUGAUUCCCAUGGGGGAUGUAUGUGUGAUUGUGGGUAUGGACUGGUUGAGUCGCAUCAGUUCCAUGAUCGACUGCGAGGGUCAGUAGGUGGUAGUUCGAACCCCAGGUGGGGGAGAACUGGUUAUCUUCGGUAAGGGCACCAGGCUAGGAUCAGGGUUUUGCUUGGCUGCCAGGACUCGACAGUCUAUUCAGCACGAGUGUGUGGGUUACUUAGCGUAUGUGGUGGAUAUGCGGGUUAAGGAUUAGGUUUCGGUUUCAUAUGUUCUGGUUGUCAGGGAGUUCGCUGAUGUGUUUCCGGAGGAGUUAUCUAGAGUGCGUCCAAAGAGGCAGGUCGAGUUCAGGAUCGACCUAGUGCCAGGUACGGUCCCUGUCGCCAAGGCGUUGUACCGAUUGGCACCACUAGAGAUGCAGGAGCUGUUAUCACAGCUGCAGAAACUGUUGGGCAAGUAGUUCAUUCAUCCGAGUAGUUCCCCGUGGGGAGCACCGAUUCUCUUCUUGAUAAAGAAGGAUGGUUCACACCGGAUGUGCAUUGACUACCAGGAAUUGAAUAAGUCGAUGGUGAAGAACUGUUAUCCACUACCACAGAUCGAUGAUCUCUUUGAUCAGCUGCAUGGAGCAUCUUGGUUCUCCAAUAUAGAUUUGAGGUCCGGGUACCAUCAGGUCAGGGUACGACAGGAGGACAUGGUGAAGACCGCGUUCCAGACUCGUUAUGGACACUACGAGUUCGUGGUAAUGCCGUUUGGGCUCACCAACGCGCCAACUAUAUUUAUGGACCUAAUGAAUCGGGUAUGUUGACCGAUUCUCGAUCGCUCAUUCAUUGUGUUUAUAGAUGACAUCAUAGUGUAUUCCAAGACCAGAGAGCAGCACGAGGAGCAUCUUCGGGAGUUACUGGGGGUCUUGAGAUGAGAAUGGAUUUAUGCCAUGAGGAACUGGGCAUGCGACUGCAUUUCAGUACCACAUACCAUCCGUAGACAGACGGCCAGAGCGAGCGGACCAUUCAAACCCUCGAGGAUAUGUUGAGGGCCUGUGUUAUUGACUUCGGUGGGAUUUGGGAAUCCUACCUACCCUUGCAAAAUUCUCCUAUAACAACAACUAUCACUCCAGCAUUAGUGCUCCACCUUAUGAGCUGUUGUACGGACGGAGAUGUCGUACCCCGGUCUGUUGGGGGUGAGGUUCGCCACAGAGUAAUGGAACGGACAGAGGUAGUUUCGCAGACUACCGAUAGGAUUCAACAGAUCAGGUAGCGACUGCAGACUGCUCAGAGUCGGCAUAAGAGUUACGCCGAUCGAUGCCGAUCUGAAUUGGAGUUUCAGGUUGGUGACAUGGUGCUACUGAUGUAACACCGUGAAUUUCAAAAUAAUUUUUCGCAAUAUAAAAAAAACAUUUCUCAUUUAAUUUCAUAAAAACAUUAAGUUUCAAAUUCCAAUAUGUAUCAUACAAAUCCCAAGAUCACAUAAGUAUAUCAAAAGUCCCCUGCGUGUGUACAGAUCAAGCCGGCGCCUUCCCACGGUCAUCGCUAGUACCUGAAACAACAACACUAACACUGUAAGCACGAAGCUUAGUGAGUUCCCCAAAAUACCACACAUAGAACGCAUAUUAGCCACUCGAGGCUAUAACUCUAUGGGUCCGUGCACCCAACUCUGUGAACCCUCAGGUUCUAACUCUAGGAACCUUCCGAUUCCAACUCUGUAAUCAUGCACAACAUCAAUCACAUAGAAAUAAUGCAGUACAACACAUAGCAUACACAUAACAUACAUACAGUAACACAUAGCUCUGAUUACCUACUCAAGGUAAAGUAUAGUGAGAAGACUCACCUCGCGUAUCUCGGUAUCUCACGAAUCCUGGAAAUCCCUCGUGCUCGAUCCUCCGAGCUCUAAUCCUCCUAUAACAUCACAUGACUCUAAUUAACACUUUUUAUCUCUAAGGUUGACUAUCUCUAAUUAACACUUUUUAUCUCUAAGGUUGACUAUCCCUAAG
rnacentral:lncRNA from 1 species